GGAUGCUGGGGUGGGAAGAUUGCUUAAGCCCAGGAGUUUGAAACUGCACUGAGCCAUGACUGCACCACUGCACUCCAGCCUGGGUGACAGAGCAAGACUUGUCUCAA